rnacentral:rRNA from 1 species
UACAGAGGUCUCAAGCGUUGUUCGGAUUCAUUGGGCGUAAAGGGUGUGUAGGUGGCGCGCUAAGUCGGGUGUGAAAUUUCGGAGCUUAACUCCGAAACUGCAUUCGAUACUGGCGUGCUUGAGGACUGGAGAGGAGACUGGAAUUUACGGUGUAGCAGUGAAAUGCGUAGAUAUCGUAAGGAAGACCAGUGGCGAAGGCGGGUCUCUGGACAGUUCCUGACACUGAGGCACGAAAGCGUGGGGAUCAAACAGG